rnacentral:lncRNA from 1 species
AUGGUUUUCAGGACUGGUGGGAGGCAUACCUGUACCCUAAAAUCAAUAAUGACUUGCAAAGAUAUGUUUACUUUGACUUUAGUUCUAUUGGAAUUCUGUAACCUUGGGCAGUUCUCAAAUAUAUUUUUUCUGAAGGGCAAAGUCAAGAGGUUCCCCAUUCCCUCUCCUCCUCUUAGGAAUAGAGAUAGAGGACCAUCAGAAACAGGACAAAGCUGCUGCUCUGCAGGUUCUGAGAAUUUCAACUUGUGGGACUUUCAUGCUAUGGAAGUGAGCCUGGCAACAGAUUCCUCAGCCCCAGUCUGACCUUGAGAUGACUGCGAACUUGGGGAAGACUUUGAACCACAGGUACCCCACUAAGAGGUCUGGACUCCUGGCCAGUAGAAACUGUGAGUUAAUAUUUGUUAUUGUAAGCUACUAAGUUUGGGGAUAAUUUGCUAUAUUGCAACAAUACAACUGCUAAACUAUACUGGGUUGUUUUGUUUUGUUUUGUUUAUUUUAAAUAAUACAAGAUAUUACAAUGAAAAUUUGUAUUUCUUUCUUUUGUAAUUUUUAUUUUUUUAUUGUAUUAUGUUAGUUACCAUACAGUACAUCAUUAGUUUUUGAUGUAGUGUUCCAUGAUUCAUUUUUUGUGCGUAACACCCAGUGCUCCAUGCAACAUGUGUCCUCCUUAAUACACAAAGAGAAUUUGCCUUUCUUAAUAAUGCCUGUAGUUAGCAGCAGCACUUAGCUAUUUGUGGUGCCUGUAGUGAUGGCUUAUUCCAAGCAAGUCUUUUUUUUUCCUUUUUAAACAGAAUUACUUCUGUAACAACUUCAUGAUUGAUUUUUUUAAAAUGUAUCAAAGACUCUGAAAUUCUAAAUUUCUUCACUGCUUCCUGAUAUUGAAUUCUUCUCUCAAAGAAACCCAUUUGUCAUGCCUAACUCACUGGGAUUAUGUGGACAACUUUUGGUUACUGAGGAGUGAUCAUUCUGUACGGUAUAGGCUCCAUGAGAUUGUGUAGUAUGAAGAAUCACUGGUAGGGUGACCCAGCCUGCCUUUCCCAUCUGGUGUUUUCAGUGUCUUUUUUUUUUUUCCACUUUCUUUUUUCUUUUUCAUGUGUGUAUGUGUGUGUGUGUGUGUGUGUGUGUGAGAGAGAGAGAGAGAGAAUCUGUGUGUGUGUCUGUGUAUAGGCUAUCUAGUUAUAAUCUUCUCAUCUGGUACAAUGAACAUAUUCUGACCUGAAACUUCCCCCUAGAUUCCUACAAAAUGAUCAAAUGAUUUUCAUUCAGGUUCAUUAAAUUUUUUUGUACUUAUCAGGUUAGCUUAGAAAUGGUGAGGGACUAUUAUGGUCUUGUCCAUCUGAUUUGUACAUAUUGUUAAUGAAUUUGAGCUAAGAAACUCUCUAACAUAUUUAUCAAUAGAAGCCAAGGAUGUAUAUGAACCAUGAGCUAUCAGCCUCUGUUUCUUCAGUCUUUGCCCCAUAAUCACAAGAGAAUCCCCUCCUUUGAGGAUUUGCCAUCACAAUUUUGGACAUCCAGGAGGGCCCCUCCACCAUUCAGAACAUUUAGUAAUCGUGGUUAUGCCAACUGAUACUCUUGUGCAGGAGCAAGACACUUACCUAGUGGGUGGACACCUGAACAUCAGCCCAACAUCAAUAUGUUAAUGCUUUGCAGCAGGCAUAUUUUAUAGAGGAAUCCUAUGUGGCAGUGGUAUUUAUAAAUUGAUGUGGUCUUAGAAACAUCUCUGAGUACCAAGGGGCCAGUAAACCUGUUUGGUUUUGUUGUUCUUUUGUUUAUCCUCAAAGUCCUUUGGCUUGGAUCAUGUUUAGUUUGCCAUCGAGCCUGGAGAUUGUUCAUUCUAUGAAAAUACCUUUUCCUUGCUCUUUUUAAAUAAAAGAUGCAAAAGUUUACUUAAAUUAUAUGUGUGUGUGCAUGUGUGUUAACCAUGCCUUGUUGGGGCAGGGCUUCAGUUUUUUACAUUCUUACCCAUCAGCCUUGCCACUGCCCUCAAAUGACUUUAGAUUCAAAAGCUGAUUUACCAAGGGUUACCUGAGUGUCUCCAUCGGUUAGGUGUUAGACUCUUGAUCUUAGCUCAGAUCUUGAUCUCAGGGUCAUGAGUUCAUGCCCAGUGUGGAGUCUACUUACAAAAAAAAAAAAAAAGGCUGACGUACCAAAGAUAGAGCGAUGGUUACAUCAUUUCACCAAGAGUAACCAAGGUGAAUACUUCGUAAGCAACUGUUGACCCUACAUCUGAUGCCAAAAUUUCAAACACCAUGAGACAGCAUUGGAAGACGUCCAGUGAAAGUUGUUAGUUUGGAGCACUGAGGGCCUAGGGUUGCUUUACAGGAUUUAUAUGGCACAUGAGGGUUGAUAAGGGCAAACAAUUUUUUGAUGAAUAAAGCAAAAAGCUUGUUUUGUAAGUGAGAAGUCAAAUAGAAGAGGCAACUUUCGUGUCCCUGAAACAGGGCCAGCCUCCAAAGGACAUUUGUCUCCAGGCCUGACGGCAAGGCCUUAGGAAGACAGCCUCAUCCAUCUGCCACUUGAAAUCCUCUGAUAUAG